rnacentral:rRNA from 1 species
GACGAACGCUGGCGGCGUGCUUAACACAUGCAAGUCGAACGAAGUGGCGAACGGGUGAGUAACGCGUAGUCAACCUGCCCUUCAGAGGGGGACAACAGUUGGAAACGACUGAUAAUACCGCAUAGUGAAGGAGGGGAUUGCGUCUGAUUAGCUAGUUGGAGGGGUAACGGCCCACCAAGGCGAUGAGCAGUAGCCGGUCUGAGAGGAUGAACGGCCACAUUGGGACUGAUGCACGGCCCAGACUCCCACGGGAGGCAGGAGUGGGGAAUCUUCCGCAAUGGACGAAAGUCGGACUGCGCAACGCCGCGUGAGUGAUGACGGCCUUCGGGUUGUAAAGCUCUGUUAAUCGGGACGCGGUACCGGAAUAGAAAGCCACGGCUAACUACGUGCCAGCAGCCGCGGUAAUUC